GAUGAACGCUGACGGCAUGCCUAACACAUGCAAGUCAACCUGAACUUCGGUUUGGGUGGCGGACGGGUGAGUUACGCGUAAAGAACUUGCCUCACAGCUAGGGAUAACUUUUGGAAACGAAUGCUAAUACCUGAUAUUAUGUUUAUAUGGCAUAGUAUAAUUAUGAAAGCUAUAUGCGCUGUGAGAGAGCUUUGCGUCCCAUUAGCUAGUUGGAGAGGUAACAGCACACCAAGGCGAGGAUGGGUAGCCAGCCUGAGAGGGUGAUCGGCCACACAGGGACUGAGACACGACCCGUACGGAAUCGUGCGGCAGGAGUGAGGAAGAUAGGACGAGGGACCGAGGGACUGAUGAAGCAAUUCUGAUUGCACAAUGAUGUUUUUCGGAAUGUAAAAAUCUUUCAGUAACGAAGAAAAUAAUGACGGUACCAACAGAAGAAGCCACGGCUAAAUACGUG
rnacentral:rRNA from 1 species